AUACGGAGGAUGCGAGCGUUAUCCGGAUUUAUUGGGUUUAAAGGGUGCGUAGGUGGUAGAUUAAGUCAGCGGUGAAAGGCUACGGCUUAACCGUAGCAAGCAUUUGAAACUGUGUGGCUUGAGUUAAGGAGAGGAAAGUGGAAUUCCUGGUGUAGCGGUGAAAUGCGUAGAUAUCAGGAGGAAUACCAGUGGCGAAGGCGACUUUCUGGACUUAUACUGACGCUGAGGUACGAAAGCGCGGGGAGCAAACAGGAUUAGAUACCCUGGUAGUCCUGGCCGUAAACGAUGUAUGCUGGGUGUGGGAGUAGCGAUACCUCCGUGCCGAAGUUAACGCGAUAAGCAUACCGCCUGGGGAGUACGGUCGCAAGAUUGAAACUCAAAUGAAUUGACGGGG
rnacentral:rRNA from 1 species